rnacentral:rRNA from 1 species
UACGAAGGGGGGCUAGCGUUGCUCGGAAUUACUGGGCGUAAAGGGCGCGUAGGCGGCACUGUUAGUCAGGCGUGAAAGUCCUGGGCUCAACCUGGGAACUGCGCUUGAUACGGCAGAGCUAGAGGAUGGAAGAGGCUCGCGGAAUUCCCAGUGAGAGGUGAAAUUCGUAGAUAUUGGGAAGAACACCGGUGGCGAAGGCGGCGAGCUGGUCCAUUACUGACGCUGAGGCGCGACAGCGUGGGGAGCAAACAGG